rnacentral:rRNA from 1 species
GACGAACGCUGGCGGCGUGCUUAACACAUGCAAGUCGAACGGAAAGGCCCUGCUUUUGUGGGGUGCUCGAGUUGCGAACGGGUGAGUAACACGUGAGUAACCUGCCCUUGACUUUGGGAUAACUUCAGGAAACUGGGGCUAAUACCGGAUAGGAGCUCCUGCUGCAUGGUGGGGGUUGGAAAGUUUCGGCGGUUGGGGAUGGACUGGCGGCUUAUCAGCUUGUUGGUGGGGUAGUGUCAUACCAAGGUUUUGACGGGUAGCCGGGCUGAGAGGGUGACCUGCCACAUUAGGCCUGGGAUACGACCCAGACUCCAACGGGACGCAGCAGUGGAGAGUAUUACACAAUAGGCGGAAGCCUGAUGCAGCCAAGCCGCGUGCGGGAUGACGGCCUUCGGGUUGUAAACCGCUGUUGCCUGUGACGGAGCGUGAGUGACGGUAAUGGGUAAAGAAGCACCGGCUAACUACGUG